rnacentral:rRNA from 1 species
AUACGGAGGGUGCAAGCGUUACUCGGAAUCACUGGGCGUAAAGCGCGCGCAGGCGGGCUGAUAAGUUGGAUGUGAAAGCCUACGGCUCAACCGUAGAACUGCAUCCAAAACUGUCAGUCUAGAGUCUGGGAGGGGAAGAUGGAAUUAGUUGUGUAGGGGUAAAAUCCGUAGAGAUAACUAGGAAUACCAAAAGCGAAGGCGAUCUUCUGGAACAGUACUGACGCUGAGGCGCGAAAGCGUGGGGAGCAAACAGGAUUAGAAACCCUUGUAGUCC